AUUACCCUGAUGAGUGUUAUGAAAACAUUCUGAACAAUCAUAGGUGUUUAGACAGCCUGAGAAAUCAUGUGUUUUGUGUUGCGUGUGUAUUACCAUGUGCUAAUGAUAGAGAGCUAUAACUGUGUCUGUGCUGUCAGCUGGGUCUGCUCGCUGAGAAACUGUGAACAACAUAAUCACACCUUCAACAUCUGUCUAACUGUGGAUUGGUGGAGUCCAAACUGUUUAGAGAGGUUUUGUAACCUUCUAUAACCUGAUGACAACCAACAACUCUUCUUCUGAGGACUUGUGUGACAAUCUGAUGAAGUUUUAGUUCAAUUUUGUGGGUUUGCAAACUUUCGAUCACCACUGUAUGCAAAUUAUGCAUAUUAAAUAAUGUUUUGUGAAUAAGGCCUUUAGUUAUAAAUUAUUUGCAGAGCAAUGCUGCCAUGUUUUGGUUGAACUUUUUCUUACAAUUAUAUGAAUAUUCAGAAAGAACAGUCAAAAUUUAAGAUCUAACAUUUGUUCCAUAUAAAGACUCUCUUAAUUACUUUGAAGAAUAGUAUCAUUUAAAGCUACUAUUCCCAGACAGGGCAAUGCUGCUGCCAAAUCUUUCUCUAAAUGGAAUAAAUCUCUCCAGAACAUAUCCCGUGAUGGCAUGGUGCCCAAUGUCUCUUGCCUUGUCCUUGUUUGAAUUCUUCUGCCAGCUUUAUCCUGUCUCUCAGGGUCAGUCUAGUGGUUGUCUGUUCAUGUCUGUGUUUGUGGAGACAGAGCAUUGAAGGCAAAAUAUGUAUAUGUGAAAACCUUAAAACAAACACAGAGAAGGAGAUACACAUUACAGGAAGACACAUGUGCUGGAAGACACCAAUUACAUCAAAAUGAACUCCAAGAGACAGUCAAAGAUAUUUUAUGAAAACAUGUAGGACCCAAGCAAAAAGAAG